AACUAAUUUUUAUUAUAUUAUAUUAAUAAUGUUUUUAUUGUUAUUUUUAAACUGAUAAUUUUGCUUGUGGUCUACCAUUUGAUGAAUUUAUUUAUGGUCCAUCAUAUCAAAAACACAAGAUACGAUCAUAAUGUUAAUAGAUUACUGGUGUUGAUUCUAAGAGAUAUGUUUGGCUAUAAUCAAGAGAAUGCGAGAAAAAACGCAAAAAGAAAGAAAGAUAACAGUUAUUUGUUCUAAAAGCAUAUAUAUAAUAUCUAUAUAUAUAUAUAUAAAUUUUUAUUUAACUUUUUUUUAUGCAAUGUUUAGAGCAACUUAUGACAUUAAUAAUUGCAGAAUAUAUUUAUGUUAUUAA